AGCGGCGGACGGGUGAGUAACGCGUGGGAAUGUACCCUUCUCUAAGGAAUAGCCACUGGAAACGGUGAGUAAUACCUUAUACGCCCUUCGGGGGAAAGAUUUAUCGGAGAAGGAUCAGCCCGCGUUGGAUUAGAUAGUUGGUGGGGUAAUGGCCUACCAAGUCUACGAUCCAUAGCUGGUUUGAGAGGAUGAUCAGCCACACUGGGACUGAGACACGGCCCAGACUCCUACGGGAGGCAGCAGUGGGGAAUCUUAGACAAUGGGGGAAACCCUGAUCUAGCCAUGCCGCGUGAGUGAUGAAGGCCUUAGGGUCGUAAAGCUCUUUCGCCAGGGAUGAUAAUGACAGUACCUGAUAAAGAAACCCCGGCUAACUCCGUGCCAGCAGCCGCGGUAAUACGGAGGGGGUUAGCGUUGUUCGGAAUUACUGGGCGUAAAGCGCACGUAGGCGGACUAGUCAGUCAGAGGUGAAAUCCCAGGGCUCAACCCUGGAACUGCCUUUGAUACUGCUAGUCUUGAGUUCGAGAGAGGUGAGUGGAAUUCCGAGUGUAGAGGUGAAAUUCGUAGAUAUUCGGAGGAACACCAGUGGCGAAGGCGGCUCACUGGCUCGAUACUGACGCUGAGGUGCGAAAGUGUGGGGAGCAAACAGGAUUAGAUACCCUGGUAGUCCACACCGUAAACGAUGAAUGCCAGUCGUCGGCAA
rnacentral:rRNA from 1 species